GAGUUUGAUCCUGGCUCAGAUUGAACGCUGGCGGCAGGCCUAACACAUGCAAGUCGAACGGUAACAGGAAGCAGCUUGCUGCUUUGCUGACGAGUGGCGGACGGGUGAGUAAUGUCUGGGAAACUGCCUGAUGGAGGGGGAUAACUACUGGAAACGGUAGCUAAUACCGCAUAACGUCGCAAGACCAAAGAGGGGGACCUUCGGGCCUCUUGCCAUCGGAUGUGCCCAGAUGGGAUUAGCUAGUAGGUGGGGUAAAGGCUCACCUAGGCGACGAUCCCUAGCUGGUCUGAGAGGAUGACCAGCCACACUGGAACUGAGACACGGUCCAGACUCCUACGGGAGGCAGCAGUGGGGAAUAUUGCACAAUGGGCGCAAGCCUGAUGCAACCAUGCCGCGUGUAUGAAGAAGGCCUUCGGGUUGUAAAGUACUUUCAGCGGGGAGGAAGGGAGUAAAGUUAAUACCUUUGCUCAUUGACGUUACCCGCAGAAGAAGCACCGGCUAACUCCGUGCCAGCAGCCGCGGUAAUACGGAGGGUGCAAGCGUUAAUCGGAAUUACUGGGCGUAAAGCGCACGCAGGCGGUUUGUUAAGUCAGAUGUGAAAUCCCCGGGCUCAACCUGGGAACUGCAUCUGAUACUGGCAAGCUUGAGUCUCGUAGAGGGGGGUAGAAUUCCAGGUGUAGCGGUGAAAUGCGUAGAGAUCUGGAGGAAUACCGGUGGCGAAGGCGGCCCCCUGGACGAAGACUGACGCUCAGGUGCGAAAGCGUGGGGAGCAAACAGGAUUAGAUACCCUGGUAGUCCACGCAGUAAACGAUGAUAACUCGCUGUCGGCGAUACACAGUCGGUGGCCAAGCGAAAGCGAUAAGUUAUCCACCUGGGGAGUACGUUCGCAAGAAUGAAACUCAAAGGAAUUGACGGGGGCCCGCACAAGCGGAAGAACAUGUGGUUUAAUUCGAUGAUACGCGAGGAACCUUACCCGGGCUUGAAAGUUACUGACGAUUCUGGAAACAGGAUUUCCCUUCGGGGCAGGAAACUAGGUGCUGCAUGGUUGUCGUCAGCUCGUGCCGUGAGGUGUCGGGUUAAGUCCCAUAACGAGCGCAACCCCUACCGUUAGUUGCCAUCAGGUCAAGCUGGGCACUCUGGCGGGACUGCCGGUGUAAGCCGAGAGGAAGGUGGGGAUGACGUCAAAUCAGCACGGCCCUUACGUCCGGGGCUACACACGUGUUACAAUGGUAGGUACAGAGGGCAGCUACCCAGCGAUGGGGUGCAAAUCUCGAAAACCUAUCUCAGUUCGGAUUGGAGGCUGAAACUCGCCUCCAUGAAGUUGGAUUCGCUAGUAAUCGCGCAUCAGCCAUGGCGCGGUGAAUACGUUCCCGGGCCUUGUACACACCGCCCGUCAAGCCAUGGAAGCUGGGGGUGCCUGAAGUUCGUGACCGCAAGGAGCGACCUAGGGCAAAACCGGUGACUGGGGCUAAGUCGUAACAAGGUAGCCGUAG
rnacentral:rRNA from 1 species